CUGUGGGACUAGGUGACUGCUUCUGAAAGACUUCGUCUCAAUCUUUGGGUUGGGUCCAGUGGGUACAGCGUACUAACCUCUGCAGAGUGUAUAAACUAAUCAUGAUUAGCCGUGUCCCCGGUUAUGGACAAUUUUGAGCAGCUAGGCCAUUACUGUUGUUGGAUGAUCUUGACAGAUGACACACUUAAUAAAACUUGAU
rnacentral:lncRNA from 1 species